AAGUUUCAUGGUAAUGAAUUAAAUGUUUUUGCAAAUUACAAUGAUGGCAAGUAUGAGAGGAAAGAUGUUUAUGAUGUGGGAGAAGAAACAUCCUCUUUUCUGAAAGAGGAUUCGGAUGAUAUUGAUGCACUGCUCAGCUCGGAAGAGGAAGAACAAGUUGAGUACGAUGAGGAAGAGGUUAGCACAGCCCGGACCUUUGGAAAUUAUGAAUUCGACACUGCUGAUUCUCGCUCUGCUCAUGGCUCGAAACC
rnacentral:lncRNA from 1 species